AAGUCGUAACAAGGUUUCCGUAGGUGAACCUGCGGAAGGAUCAUUAACACUUUUCAUCCCUAAUUCCUGGCCAUUAAGUGUGCUGCGCCUUCACGGGUUUGCGCUUGCUUUUUGGUUUAGGUACCAACCCCUUUGUGUGCACUUGUUGAGAGGAAAAACUGAUGAAUGUAGAGUUUCGACUCUACUUAGUCUUACCUUUUUCUCUUGUUUUUCUUAUUUUUACCAAUUUUUUACCCCUUUUCUAAUGCUAUAGACUGAAAUAAUAACCUUUUUGGAAGGGUUUAAAACAUCCAAAAGAGUAAUACAACUCUUAGCAACGGAUAUCUAGGCUCUC
rnacentral:misc_RNA from 1 species